GAAUCUGGAACCUCCUGAAUGUCAGGCCUGUGCUCUACCAAUGAGCUAUACCCCAACCCACCCCUACUCUUAGGCCUAAUAGAGAUGGGAUUUUGAAUCUGUGUAAUUAAAGCGUCCGUGGACAGACUCUUCUAAGUGAGGAAAGAUGAUGGCCUGCCCGGCUCACACAUUACCUACAGACCACCAGGGCAGGGAGAUGCUUCAGCCUGGAAAGAGUUACCACGUGAUCCUUUCCUCUCACGCUGCUCGGCCGUCUCUUCCCAGUGAGGCCUAGGAACGCAGCCCUGCCGAUGGGGUCCGCUUUUACCAACUCUGUCCCGAAAUUUGGUUUGAAAUGUCCCCCCAUUGCCCUUUGUGCUUCUUUUUCUCUGUGCAACAGAUGUGCUUAAAUGUUAGCCAUGUCUUUGCCACCUGGACUCCAACCCAAUGUGAAGCGGGGAGAGGUGGAGACCGGAUGCUUAGCCACCGACAGCAGGACCGGUGGUGAUUCCGGUUAGCUGGCUGCAGCAGGUGGGGCUGGCCUCUGGGCACAAGGCAGCGUCCCUUCCUCUGCCAGCUCCAGUCUGUCCCAUGAGUUAGACAUUCAACCCAUGGAUUAUCAAGGAGGAGCUCUGCUUUCUUUAGCCUUCUGGGCUUCUGAUGCCAAUACAAACACACACCAUUUUCAGUAGCGGAGAUGGAGCAGCUGUCCAGAUUCCAGAGGGACAGGACGGAGAUGCUCCCAGAAGUUCAGGAAGAGGUAGAUUCGUCUUAAGGACACCCAGGCCUUAAAGCACCAGCUAAGAAUGCAGCCUUGGUUGUAAGAGGAAGCACAUCAAGGCAUCCACAUCACCAUCAUCAACACUGGUCCACUUCAAGACCAUAUAAACCCAGGCAAGGACUACUUGAAUGCCAUCAUUGUGAUACUAUGAUGGUUUCUCUUGACAGUUGAGGAGGCUACUAAGCGACUCAAAGAUAAUCGUGUGGAUAAGCAAGGCAAAGACGAUGCCUCCUGUCCCAGGGUUGGUGAAAUCUGUUGAUGCAAACUCACAGAUUCUGAAUACCGACUAUACAAAGGGAUCCUUUUACAUUCAUAGGGUGCCCAAGGAUCACCUUCAGUGAUCAAGAGCAAUGGGUCCCAGCGGCAUCGCUGAGUCACAUCGAAGUGACGUCGACAUUCACCUUCGUGCCCGUCUCUGCUUUAUACUUACUACAAUGCAAAUGUAAUUAAAAAGAAAAUAUGGUACUCUAAGACAGCAAACCAAACCAACCAAAGAAGCCAGCCAGUGCCUGCUAUCAGCAUUCUGAUCUGGGCUGCAAAAGACUGCCGGCUUUUCUACUCGUGGCCCACUCUACAGAGACUGUCCAGUGCCCUCUUACCCUGCUAUACCAUUUGGGCAUUGCUUGCUGUACUGCCCAGCACAGGCGAGGUGCUUCCAUGUGCAUUUCUUCUUAGCUUCCAUAUACAUAUACCCAGUAUGAAAGAGAUAGAAAAGUCUUAAAACCAUCCUAGGUUUAUCCACAGAUCCGGGAAAACAUCAGCCUAGACAUAUCCUGAAAUCUAUGCUCACCCUGAACACAUUCCUCAUCCUCUCAUCUGGUUGGGUAUAUUGAAUAGCCAGGAUGCUCAAAAUAUCUUCAUAAACCAGAUAUGGUAGUACACACCUACAAACCCAACACUAAGGAGGCAGAGGCAGGAUGAUCAACAGGCCAUUCUUGGCUACGUAGGGGACUCUCUAAAAACAAACAAACAACAAGAAUAGUCCCCCCAAAACCAAAAUUCCUAGUAGGUUCAAUGUGACAGGUCCCCAGCAGACCAGGCUAACUGACACGCC